rnacentral:rRNA from 1 species
GAUGAACGCUGGCGGCGUGCCUAAUACAUGCAAGUCGAGCGAACGGACGAGAAGCUUGCUUCUCUGAUGUUAGCGGCGGACGGGUGAGUAACACGUGGAUAACCUACCUAUAAGACUGGGAUAACUUCGGGAAGCCGUAGCUAAUACCGGAUAAUAUUUUGAACCGCAUGGUUCAAAAGUGAAAGACGGUCUUGCUGUCACUUAUAGAUGGAUCCGCGCUGCAUUAGCUAGUUGGUAAGGUAACGGCUUACCAAGGCAACGAUGCAUAGCCGACCUGAGAGGGUGAACGGCCACACUGGAGCUGAGACACGGUCCAGACUCCUACGGGAGGCAGCAGUAGGGAAUCUUCCGCAAUGGACGAAAGCCUGACGGAGCAACGCCGCGUGAGUGAUGAAGGUCUUCGGAUCGUAAAACUCUGUUAUUAGGGAAGAACAUAUGUGUAAGUAACUGUGCACAUCUUGACGGUACCUAAUCAGAAAGCCACGGCUAACUACGUG